rnacentral:misc_RNA from 1 species
UACGGAGGAUCCAAGCGUUAUCCGGAAUCAUUGGGUUUAAAGGGUCCGUAGGCGGGACAAUAAGUCAGUGGUGAAAGUCUGUGGCUCAACCAUAGAACUGCCAUUGAUACUGUUGUCCUUGAGUUGUAGUGAAGUGGUUGGAAUAUGUAGUGUAGCGGUGAAAUGCAUAGAUAUUACAUAGAACACCGAUUGCGAAGGCAGAUCACUAACAACAUACUGACGCUGAUGGACGAAAGCGUAGGUAGCAAACAGG